rnacentral:lncRNA from 1 species
UGUAGUAAUAAAAUAAUGGGCGUUGCCAUGGCCAUCAGGACGGUGGUGUUGCUCCCCGCCGUGCUCACGCUCCUCUCCUUCCUCCUCCUACCCUUGGCCUCCCUGGCGCUGACGCAGGACUUCUGCGUGGCCGACCUGACCUGCAGCGACACGCCGGCGGGGUACCCGUGCAAGUCCAGCGUCACCGCCAACGACUUCUACUACCACGGCCUGGCCGGGCAGGGCAAGAUCAACCCGCUGAUCAAGGCGGCCGUGACGCCGGCGUUCGUCGGCCAGUUCCCGGGCGUCAACGGGC